rnacentral:rRNA from 1 species
AUUGAACGCUGGCGGCAGGCCUAACACAUGCAAGUCGAACGAGUGGCGGACGGGUGAGUAAUGUCUGGGAAACUGCCUGAUGGAGGGGGAUAACUACUGGAAACGGUAGCUAAUACCGCAUACCAUCAGAUGUGCCCAGAUGGGAUUAGCUAGUUGGUGGGGUAACGGCUCACCAAGGCGACGAUCCCUCGCUGGUCUGAGAGGGUGAACGGCCACACUGGAACUGAGACACGGUCCAGACUCCUACGGGAGGCAGCAGUAGGGAAUAUUGCACAAUGGGCGCAAGCCUGAUGCAGCAAUGCCGCGUGUAUGAAGAAGGCCUUCGGGUUGUAAAAUACUUUCAGCGGGGAAGCGUUACCCAAAGAAAAAGCACCGGCUAACUCCGUGCCAGCAGCCGCGGUAAUAC